UACGUAGGUGGCGAGCGUUGUCCGGAAUUACUGGGUGUAAAGGGUGCGUAGGCGGGUGAACAAGUCAGAUGUGAAAUACCAGGGCUCAACCCUGGAGGUGCAUUUGAAACUGUUCAUCUUGAGUGCAGGAGAGGAAAGCGGAAUUCCUAGUGUAGCGGUGAAAUGCGUAGAUAUUAGGAGGAACACCAGUGGCGAAGGCGGCUUUCUGGACUGUAACUGACACUGAGGCAUGAAAGCGUGGGUAGCAAACAGG
rnacentral:rRNA from 1 species